rnacentral:rRNA from 1 species
AGUGAACGCUGGCGGUAGGCCUAACACAUGCAAGUCGAACGGCAGCACAGGAGAGCUUGCUCUCUGGGUGGCGAGUGGCGGACGGGUGAGGAAUACAUUGGAAUCUACUCUGUCGUGGGGGAUAACGUAGGGAAACUUACGCUAAUACCGCAUACGACCUACGGGUGAAAGCAGGGGACCUUCGGGCCUUGCGCGAUUGAAUGAGCUGAUGUCGGAUUAGCUAGUUGGCGGGGUAAAGGCCCACCAAGGCGACGGUCCGUAGCUGGUCUGAGAGGAUGAUCAGCCACACUGGAACUGAGACACGGUCCAGACUCCUACGGGAGGCAGCAGUGGGGAAUAUUGGACAAUGGGCGCAAGCCUGAUCCAGCCAUACCGCGUGGGUGAAGAAGGCCUUCGGGUUGUAAAGCCCUUUUGUUGGGAAGGAAAUCCAGCUGGCUAAUACCCGGUUGGGAUGACGGUACCCAAAGAAUAAGCACCGGCUAACUUCGUGCCAGCCGCCGCCGUAA